rnacentral:ncRNA from 1 species
CCAUCAACGAUGAGCGGGAAGAGUAGGUCAGGACGCCUUGACAGAGAGGAGAAUCAAAGCUGAGAGAUUCUCUAGGUUGGGAAUGGCUGAAUGUCGCCCAGGAGUUGUUCCGAUGAGACCAUUGUAGUCGGAAGCGGUUCGCAGCCGUUAUCUUGUUUGAGGGAACACCCGAGUCUGCAAGGCUUGGCGUGUUAACAAAGGUGGUACCGCGAAAUGAUCCUUUCGUCCUUUGG